CAGGGAUUCCCCUAGUAACGGCGAGUGAAGCGGGAACAGCUCAAAUUUGAAAUCUGGCCCUCGGGUCCGAGUUGUAAUUUGUAGAGGAUGCUUUUGGUGCGGUGCCUUCCGAGUUCCCUGGAACGGGACGCCUUAGAGGGUGAGAGCCCCGUACGGUUGGACGCCUAGCCUCUGUAAAGCUCCUUCGACGAGUCGAGUAGUUUGGGAAUGCUGCUCUAAAUGGGAGGUAUAUUUCUUCUAAAGCUAAAUACCGGCCAGAGACCGAUAGCGCACAAGUAGAGUGAUCGAAAGAUGAAAAGCACUUUGAAAAGAGGGUUAAAUAGCACGUGAAAUUGUUGAAAGGGAAGCGUUUAUCACCAGACUUUUUCUGGGGGGAUCAUCCGGUGUUCUCACCGGUGCACUUCCCCCAGUUGAGGCCAGCAUCGGUUUUCGGAGGGGGAUAAAAGCUUCGGGAAUGUGACUCCCUCGGGAGUGUUAUAGCCCGUUGCAUAAUACCCUUCUGGGGACCGAGGUUCGCGCAUCUGCAAGGAUGCUGGCGUAAUGGUGAUCAACGACCCGUCUUGAAACACGGACCAAGGAGUCGAACAUUUAUGCGAGUGUUUGGGUGUCAAACCCUCACGCGUAAUGAAAGUGAACGGAGGUGAGAGCCCUUACGGGUGCAUCAUCGACCGAUCCUGAUGUCUUCGGAUGGAUUUGAGUAAGAGCAUAACUGUUCGGACCCGAAAGAUGGUGAACUAUGCGUGGAUAGGGUGAAGCCAGGAGAAAUCCUGGUGGAGGCUCGCAGCGGUUCUGACGUGCAAAUCGAUCGUCAAAUCUGCGCAUGGGGGCGAAAGACUAAUCGAACCAUC
rnacentral:rRNA from 1 species